AGUUUGAUCCUGGCUCAGGAUGAACGCUAGCUACAGGCUUAACACAUGCAAGUCGAGGGGCAGCAUGUUGGUUGCUUGCAACCAAUGAUGGCGACCGGCGCACGGGUGAGUAACGCGUAUCCAACCUACCCUUGUCCAUCGGAUAACCCGUCGAAAGGCGGCCUAACACGAUAUGCGGUUCACCGCAGGCAUCUAACGUGAACGAAAUGUGAAGGAGAAGGAUGGGGAUGCGUCUGAUUAGCUUGUUGGCGGGGUAACAGCCCACCAAGGCUACGAUCAGUAGGGGUUCUGAGAGGAAGGUCCCCCACAUUGGAACUGAGACACGGUCCAAACUCCUACGGGAGGCAGCAGUGAGGAAUAUUGGUCAAUGGACGAGAGUCUGAACCAGCCAAGUAGCGUGCAGGAUGACGGCCCUAUGGGUUGUAAACUGCUUUUAUAGGGGGAUAAAGUGUGUCACGUGUGGCAUAUUGCAGGUACCCUAUGAAUAAGGACCGGCUAAUUCCGUGCCAGCAGCCGCGGUAAUACGGAAGGUCCGGGCGUUAUCCGGAUUUAUUGGGUUUAAAGGGAGCGUAGGCCGUUUGGUAAGCGUGUUGUGAAAUGUCGGGGCUCAACCUGGGCAUUGCAGCGCGAACUGCCAGACUUGAGUGCGCAGGAAGUAGGCGGAAUUCGUCGUGUAGCGGUGAAAUGCUUAGAUAUGACGAAGAACUCCGAUUGCGAAGGCAGCCUGCUGUAGCGCAACUGACGCUGAAGCUCAAAAGCGUGGGUAUCGAACAGGAUUAGAUACCCUGGUAGUCCACGCGGUAAACGAUGGAUGCUCGCUGUUUGCGUCUGACGUAAGCGGCCAAGCGAAAGCGUUAAGCAUCCCACCUGGGGAGUACGCCGGCAACGGUGAAACUCAAAUGAAUUGACG
rnacentral:rRNA from 1 species